GAUGAACGCUAGCGAUAGGCCUAACACAUGCAAGUCGAGGGGCAUCACAUGAAGUAGCAAUACGGAUGGUGGCGACCGGCGCACGGGUGAGUAACACGUAUGCAACCUGCCUUCAACAAGGGGAUAACCCGUUGAAAGACGGACUAAUACCCUAUAACACAGGGGUCCCGCAUGGGAAUAUUUGUUAAAGGACAACCGGUUGAAGAUGGGCAUGCGUUCCAUUAGCUAGUUGGCGGGGUAACGGCCCACCAAGGCAACGAUGGAUAGGGGAACUGAGAGGUUUAUCCCCCACACUGGUACUGAGACACGGACCAGACUCCUACGGGAGGGCAGCAGUGAGGAAUAUUGGUCAAUGGACGCAAGUCUGAACCAGCCACGUCGCGUGAAGGAAGACGGCCCUACGGGUUGUAAACUUCUUUUAUACGGGAAUAAAGUGCCCCACGCGUGGGGUUUUGCAUGUACCGUAUGAAUAAGGAUCGGCUAACUCCGUG
rnacentral:rRNA from 1 species